rnacentral:rRNA from 1 species
AUGGAAUCGAGCGGUCUGAGGAAGAGAGUAGCCGAUAUGAUGGAUGGGGGCAAGUACAAGCCAAAAGGCUAUGGGAUGGCCGCCGCCGGCCAGAGGCUCCCGUGUGCGCUGCUGCUGCUGCUGGUUCUCGCCGGCGCCGCGUUGAGCGUCGUCGUCAUGCACAAGGUUAGGGAGCAGCGCGCCUUUGCUGUGGUUCUCAAGGAGCGCGACGUGCAGGCCGUCUCCCUCCGGAUCCAACUCCAGAAAGAGAAGGCAUAUGGCAAAGAGACGAAGAGGAAGGCGGAAGAAAUGAAGGCCACGAUGUCUUCCCUGAGAACUCAGAAGACAGACCUGAAAACAAAGCUCAAGGCGCUGGAAGCCACGGCCACAAUCCUCAAGAACGUGCAGAAAGAACUCGAAGCAUCUCUCAAGGAGAGAGAGAGCCGCAUCAGCCAAAUGGAAGGGAAAGCCGCAAAUCUUCACAGCACUCGGAAAGCACUGGAAGCAACUCUGAAGGAACGAGACAACCGCAUCAAGCAAAUGCAAGAUAAAGUCACGAGUGCUGAGAAAACUCUGAAGGAACAGGAGCUGUCUCUAAAGGCGAGAGACAGCCGCAUCAGCCAACUGGAAGAGAAAACCGCCGCAGCGUCAAAUCCUGACCAGAUGGCAGCCCUCAUGGAAAUCCUGCAGCGGAAGGAAGCUGAGCUCGAGGAGAUCAAGACCAGGUUCCAGGACUACAGGACUACAGACAGAAAAGUUGUAAGUAGUAAGAGCACUUCGGCACAAACAAACCCAACAACACCUGCCGUUGUAGUAGCAGGAAAGGUUACGAACUCCAGCAGGAAUAGUACUAUACCUGCUAGAUCUGAAGAGAAGAGAGCUGGCGACACCACAGUGACAGAAAGCAAACUUCAGAAACCGAAGACCAGAUCUUUGGAAGAAAAGCAGGUGAAGCUCGCAGUCAGAGGCAACACAAAAGUUGAUGAUUUGCAGGAGCAAGAUACUGAUUUCUUAGAUAUGGAUGAUAUUUAUGGAGGCAGCCAUAACAAGAAGUCUGAACUUGCUCGACGGAAUAAGAAGGUUUUGACCGACAGUCAUGCCGAAAACCAAAAGUCAGGGCACCCCCUGGACCAGCAGGACAGCCAUCAUGUCAGAUAUAACAAGCUGCUUGAGAAUGAGAACAUCAAAACAGAUGAAACCAAGAAGAAGAACAGUACUGUUGGGCACUUGGAGAAGAUCUCCAAAGAUGAAACCAAGAAGAAGAACAGCACUGUUGGGCACUUGGAGAAGAUCUCCAACGAUGAAACCAAGAAGAAGAACAGUACUGUUGGACACUUGGAAAAGAUCUCCAAAGAUGAAACCAAGAAGAAGAACAGUACUGUUGGGCACUUGGAAAAGAUCUCCAAAGACAGCUUAAGCGACGUCAACCUAGACAGACCGAGACAAAGGAUGACUGGUGCUGCUGAUGUGAAGCCGAAGGUGCCUGUAAAUGAUGAUUUGCAGCAAAACAAGAAGCAGAAGAACAAAAAGCCCAAAUCCAAGAAGAAGGUGGUCGAUACUUCAACUUGGUGA